CACGUGCUCCUUGCAAACUCCUGGG
rnacentral:piRNA from 1 species